GACUCGGUAGUGUAAUGGAUCAGCACUGCAGACCGAAUAUGUGUAAGUGUGGGUUCGAGUCCCGCCUGAGGUU
rfam:Dictyocaulus viviparus strain HannoverDv2000 D_viviparus-1.0_Cont384.10, whole genome shotgun sequence.